CCCUGAGUGGCUCAGUUUGUUAAGUGUCUGACUUUGGCUCAGGUGAUGAUCUCACAGUUUGUGGGUUCAAGUCCUGUCUCAGGAU
rnacentral:tRNA from 1 species